rnacentral:rRNA from 1 species
UUAGAGUUUGAUCCUGGCUCAGGAUGAAUUUUAGCGGGAGGCUUAACACAUGCAAGUCGAGGGGCAGCACGAUGUAGCAAUACGUUGGUGGCGACCGGCGCACGGGUGAGUAACACGUAUGCAACCUACCCUGUACAGGGGGAUAACCCGGAGAAAUUCGGACUAAUAUCCCAUAAAGAUAUUUGAGGGCAUCCUUGGAUAUUUAAAGCUCAGGCGGUACGGGAUGGGCAUGCGGAACAUUAGCUAGUUGGCAGGGUAACGGCCUACCAAGGCAACGAUGUUUAGGGGACCUGAGAGGGUGAUCCCCCACACUGGUACUGAGACACGGACCAGACUCCUACGGGAGGCAGCAGUGAGGAAUAUUGGUCAAUGGGCGCAAGCCUGAACCAGCCAUCCCGCGUGCAGGAAGACGGCCCUAUGGGUUGUGAACUGCUUUUCCAGGGGGAGAAUUUUUCUGUCGUGACAGGAAUUGACGGUACCCUGGGAAUAAGCAUCGGCUAACUCCGUGCCAGCAGCCGCGGUAAUACGGAGGAUGCGAGCGUUAUCCGGAUUUAUUGGGUUUAAAGGGUGCGUAGGCGGAUUGAUAAGUCAGUGGUGAAAACCUGCAGCUUAACUGUAGACUUGCCGUUGAUACUGUCAGUCUUGAGUGUGGUCAAGGUAGGCGGAAUGUGUAAUGUAGCGGUGAAAUGCUUAGAUAUUACACAGAACACCGAUUGCGAAGGCAGCUUACUGGGCCAUUACUGACGCUGAUGCACGAAAGCGUGGGGAUCGAACAGGAUUAGAUACCCUGGUAGUCCACGCCGUAAACGAUGAUCACUCGCUGUUAGCGAUACACAGUUAGCGGCUAAGCAAAAGCAUUAAGUGAUCCACCUGGGGAGUACGGCCGCAAGGCUGAAACUCAAAGGAAUUGACGGGGUCUGGCACAAGCGGUGGAGCAUGUGGUUUAAUUCGAUGGUACGCGAAGAACCUUACCAGGGUUUGACAUGGACCUUACAAGAGAUGAGAGUCUCUGCCCGAAAGGGGUGGUUCACAGGUGCUGCAUGGCUGUCGUCAGCUCGUGUCGUGAGAUGUUGGGUUAAGUCCCGCAACGAGCGCAACCCUUAUGCUUAGUUGCCAGCGAGUCAAGUCGGGCACUCUAAGCAGACUGCCGGUGAUAAACCGGAGGAAGGUGGGAUGACGUCAAGUCCUCAUGGCCCUUAUAUCCUGGGCUACACACGUGCUACAAUGGCUACUACAAAGGGUAGCGAAGCUGCGAAGCGGAGCGAAUCUCAAAAAAGUAGUCUCAGUUCGGAUUGGAGUCUGCAACUCGACUCCAUGAAGCUGGAAUCGCUAGUAAUCGCAGAUCAGCAUGCUGCGGUGAAUACGUUCCCCAGACUUGCACUCACCGCCCGUCAAG